rnacentral:rRNA from 1 species
GACGAACGCUGGCGGCGUGCUUAACACAUGCAAGUCGAACGGAAAGGCCUCUUUCGGGGGGUACUCGAGUGGCGAACGGGUGAGUAACACGUGAGUAACCUGCCCUUGUCUUUGGGAUAACUUAAGGAAACUGGGGCUAAUACAGGAUAGGAGCUCCUGCUGCAUGGUGGGGGUUGGAAAGUUUCGGCGGUUGGGGAUGGACUCGCGGCUUAUCAGCUUGUUGGUGGGGUAGUGGCUUACCAAGGCUUUGACGGGUAGCCGGCCUGAGAGGGUGACCGGCCACACUGGGACUUAGAGACGGCCCAGACUCCGACGGGAGGCAGCAGUGGGGAAUAUUGCACAAUGGGUGGAAGCCUGAUGCAGCAACGCCGUGUGCGGUAUGACGGCCUUCGGGUUGAAAAACGAUUUCGCUCAUGACGAAGCUUUGUGUGACGGUAGUGGGUAAAGAAGCACCGGCUAACUACGUG